GAAAUGCGAUAACUAAUGUGAAUUGCAGAAUUCCGUGAAUCAUCGAGUCUUUGAACGCACAUUGCGCCCCCUGGCAUUCCGGGGGGCAUGCCUGUCCGAGCGUCAUUGCAACCCUCAAGCCUGGCUUGUGUUAUGGGCGGCCGUCCCAGCGGCCCGGUUUCCACCCGGGUCGGGACGCGCCCCAAACGGAGCGGGGGACGUCGCGAUACCUGAGCCUCAGCGAAUGGGAUCUACCAAAGCUGUACGGCCCGGGCCGAUGUUCGCCUUGACCGGCCUCUCCUUCCGGAGGGCCAUUCUAUCCGGUUGACCUCGGAUCAGGUAGGGAUACCCGCUGAACUUAA
rnacentral:misc_RNA from 1 species